rnacentral:rRNA from 1 species
UACGUAGGGGGCAAGCGUUGUCCGGAUUCAUUGGUGCGUAAAGAGCGUGUAGGCGGCUUUACAGGUCCGUUGUGAAAACUCGAGGCUCAACCUCGAGACGCCGGUGGAAACCGUAAAGCUAGAGUCCGGAAGAGGAGAGUGGAAUUCCUGGUGUAGCGGUGAAAUGCGCAGAUAUCAGGAGGAACACCCGUGGCGAAAGCGGCUCUCUGGGACGGUACUGACGCUGAGACGCGAAAGCGUGGGGAGCAAACAGG